rnacentral:rRNA from 1 species
AUUGAACGCUGGCGGCAGGCUUAACACAUGCAAGUCGAACGAGUGGCGGACGGGUGAGUCAUGCUUGGGAAUCUAGCUUAUGGAGGGGGAUAACUACGGAAAACUGUAGCUAAUACCGCGUACCCUAGGAUGAGCCAAAGGGGGAUUCGGUAGUUGGUGAGGUAAAGGCUCACCAACCAGACGAUCUCUAGCUGGUCUGAGAGGAUGACCAGCCACACGGGUACUGCGACACGGCCCAGACUCCUACGUGAGGCAGCAGUGGGGAAUAGUGCGCAAUGGGGGCAACCUGACGCAGCCAUGCCGCGUGAAUGAAGAAGGCCUUCGGGUUGUAAAGUUCUUUCGGUAGCGAGGCGUUAACUACAGAAGAAGCACCGGCUAACUCCGUGCCAGCAGCCGCGGUAAUAC